rnacentral:lncRNA from 10 species
GAUGAUGAAAGGCAUGUAGAGUUUGAGCUCACUCCCAGCAGGGAAGACCAGUUUGAGUUUUUUUCCUGCUUCUAGGGUGGUAGAAAGCAGCCUUCAGCCUGAGACCCAUCCCUAGAAGAGAAAGAAAAGAAGGAAAGAAAGCAAGCAAGCAAGAAAGCAAGCAAGCAAGAAAGAAAGAAAGAAAGAAAGAAAGAAAGAAAGAAAGAAAGAAAGAAAGAAAGAAAGAAAAGAAAAAGAAAGAAAAGAAGAGCCUUAAGGUGCUUUGAAAGUACCUGUGACAUUAAGUUACAGGCCUUUGACUCCUGGGUCUAAAAAGGACACCAAGGUCUGCUAAAUCUUAAGCACUGACAGCAAUUAAAACCUCAUCUUCAGGCCUGGUAGAAGAUGCCAAUCAAAAUAAACUGCAUUCCUGAGACAUAAGGCCAGAAGUAAAAGCUAUUCAACUCCUCAAGGCUCAGGAACUACCACAGAAGAGGUAGGCAUGUGAGAUUGUAAGGGCUGAUUUUGAGAGACAAAAUAAGUUCAGUUUCUCUGCAAGUUAAUAAUUGAUGUCAAAGGCACACUGAUGCAAUACCAGCAUACGGGCCCCUGCGUCAGAUUAAAAAGGUUUUCUUGAAGUGUUAACCGACCCCUUAAUAAAGGUUAUAAAGGUUAAAAAAGGCUUAUGGAAGCUGUAUCUUAUGGUCAAGAUUAAAAUUUUAAAGAUUGAUAAUAAAAUUUCAAAAAACAAAUUUAAUUGGCUUUAUGCUGUUUUAUUUGGGCUUAAUGUUUGAAAAAUUGACUUAUUUUAUGAUGACCUAUCAAGUAUUUUAAACUUUUGAUAUUUGGCAAAGUUUCCAGAAUCAAAUUACAAGUUGUGUAUUUUUCUGACCUAAUUAAUCCUCUAAGAUAUUAGUUUCCCUAAAGUCCAAAAAUGAAAUAAAUGACUUAUUUGGUAUAAAAAUUAUACAGGAAGCAUUGUCAAAUAUAAAAUGGUGUUUGGUUUUCUUUGGGCUGUAUUUGUAUAAAAAUGUUAUUGGUAUGUGCACCAAAAUUAUGGGAAACUCCUAUAAUUCUGAUAUGACAUGGUGUACAAUAUCACUAAUAAUUAUAAUUGUUAUAUAAAAUUAUCGUGUGCCACAGUGGUAACAAAUUUUCUUGUCAAUUGUGUCUUUGAUUAUGGCUGACCUAAAACUUUUUGUCACCCAUGGACAAUUGUUUUGUUUUAGUCCUUUUUAGAAGAUGGUUUUAUAAUCAGCUAUAAAACUCUAACACGUGUUCUUGAAGGCAAGUUUCUAAUAACUUUGGAGACUGUGACAUCAGAAUGGAGGAAAAGCUUUCAGAACUCAUGGAGACCUGAAAUGUUCAUGAAUAGCAAGCAGAACAGGAAUUAACUGCAUGAACUGAACUAAUAGAAGAGCAACGUAAUCUUUUUGACUUUUUGCUUAAAAUGUUGCUGCUCCUUGUUUUCCUUUUUUUAGUCAAGGAAACUUUUAUUUGAGCUGUUGUCAGCUUUUAACAAGUUAGUAUACUCCUGUGAAAAAUAUUUGGAGCAUAUUUGUUUCUCUCUACCUGAUUUUCCCCAGAAUUGGAAACUAUCUGUGAGUAUUCUUAACUUAUGGCAAUACAGUUAUUUGCAUAAGUGCAAUAAUAAUCUGUUUUCAUGUGUAACAAGACACAAUUGGAGAAAUUGGUCAUUUUACCAAGGCUUUGACUGGAAUGGUGUGCUCUCCUUUAAGGAAUCAAAUUUGACUUAUGGAGCCAAUAAAAGCCCCUUGGGAGAACUGGCCUCAUACCUUAUCUACACAGUCCCUGUACAGGGUUCCUGACCUGUGGUAAGUAAAGCAUGUCACUUUCUAACAGUUCCAGGAGCCCCAAGUUUAUCUUGGAACCUCAAGAGCAGAGGAAUUCAUGCAACUCAUAGGUAUUUGAUGGUACAAAUCCAUGGCUAGGCUAAGCUUUCCAAAAGUCUUAUCCGAAAUUCCUUCUAUGGAACAAAGUUCUGAUAGGGACAGGGGGCUGAGAAAUUCUAGGCAGAAAAGGGUAGGUCUCUGACAAAACCCCACCUUCAAGCUGAAAAGCCUUAAACCACGGCCCAAAGUGAGAACUUAUAUCCCUGUUUUCCUGCUUGAAAGUUGCCUUUUUCUAAACCACUCAUGGCUCCAUCCUGUCCAUCCUAUGCCUGUGAAGAUGCCAGACUCAGCUGGCAGAGGCAAGAAGCAGCUGGACAUUGGGAACUACAGCUGGACGUCAGAGAGAAGCAGCUUGAUUCAGAGGGACAGCUUGAUGGUGUAAUCUUGGAGAAGAAUCCAGCUGGAUACAGCCUAACUUUGAGGAAGAUUACCUACCCACCCCAUCCUUUUUCAGCUCCGCUUUCUGCUAAGAGCCACUUUCAUCAGCAACAAAAUCCCCCACAUUUACCAUCCUUUGAUUGGUUCAUGUGACCUCACUUUUCCUGGACACAAGACAAGAGCUUGGGAGCCAGGAGAGCAGAUACAAAAGACUGUCACACUGGCCCUCUGCCCUUGCUGGUGGAGGGCAGCUGCCUCACACAAAAAGGCAGAGGCCUCACUGAGCUGUUGACACUUAAGCCAUCCAUGGAAGGCAGAGUUAAAAGAACACUGUAACAUGCCCUCUGGGGCUAUGGGGGUCGCAGGCACCCCCACCUAGAUGCUGCUGUGGGGCCCACACAGAGUUUGCUCCUGCCGGUGGCCAAAAGCACUCACUUUGGCUCCUGCACUGAUUCACCUGCAUGCUUCCUCCCACAAGCAGGGGACUGCAGCAGGUCCCAGUGAGUGAAGUUUGAUCCUACCGUGCUGCAGUGCCGAUUCCAGCACACGUGCACUCCAGUUCCUGCCUCAUUUGCUUGCAUGCUCGCUCCUGCAAGGAGUUGAGAGUGGCAGGCUGAAUAAACGAGGCACCCGUCACAAGUCCCACAAAGGGGUCAGGGAAACAUCCUGCUUCAGUUCCAUCAAAGGCAAUUUAAAAGCUUAUGCAAAAAAAAAGUAUUACUAUGGCUGCGCUGUAUACAAAUAAUCAGGUCAAGUAUAAUAAAGAAAAUCAGCCCUGCCAUGAUUUGUCUUUAGUAAAAAUGGGAAAUGGGAGAGAGAAGAAUUAUGUUUCAAAAAAUGAUAAUACACCUGUUGUUAGAUUCUAGUCUUGCCUAAUGUUUUCCCAUUUUUAUUAUUUUCUACAGUUUCCACUGAAUUCUAAUUUUUCUUGGCUACAGGUCUUCAAAAGAUUGUUUUCAGUUUUUUUUUCUUCUUCUUUCCCCCAUUUUUCCUAAUUUGGAGUCACUGAAAACUCAUCUGUGCUUUUGUAAAGCCCUGCGAACUGGAGCUAGAGAAUUUAAACUUCAGAAGAAAAUACCAGCAACCUGUUUACAUACAUAAGCCACUUUCAUACCUGCCUACUGAUGUAUGGACUUCAGAGUAAUGUGGCCCAUAUUGAUUUUCCAGGAUUGUUCUUUUGUUUAUUUUUGUUUUUCUCCCUUCCUCCCCCUAUUUUCUCUUCAUAGGACAUGAAACUUCACAACCUGCUAAAAAUGAACUUUCCUAAUAACUCAGGAAUUAUCUUUCUAGGAAUAAACAAUCCUAGCCAUGAGAUAUCAGAUGAAACUUGAGACCAAAGACUGACUUUCUUCAAAAAGGCUUUCUCAAAAAGAUUUUUAAGAAAAGGGGGGAAAUUUGAAAGGAAAAUAAACCUUGGGGCCCUGAAAUCACUAAGGUAAAGGGGAAAGUCAAGCUGGGAACUGCUUAGGGCAAACCUGCCUCCCAUUCUAUUCACAGUCACCCCUCUGCUCACUGAGUUAAAUGCAUAUCUGAUUGCCUCCUUUGGAAAGGCUAAUCAGAAACUCUAAAGAAAGCAACCAUUUGUCUCUUAUCUACCUAUGACCUGGAAGCCCCUCCCCGCUUAGACUUGUCCCGCCUUUUCCGGACGGAACCACUGUUCAUCUUACAUAUGUUGAUUGAUGUCUCAUGUCUCCCUAAAAUGUAUAAAACCAAGCUGUGCUCUGACCACUUUGGGCACAUGUCUUCAGAACCUCCUGAGGCUGUGUCACAGGUGUACAUCCCCAACCUUGGCAAAAUAAACUUUCUAAAUAAACUGAGACCUGUCUCCGAUUUUGGGGGUUCACAAGGCCAUACUGACUUGUCCCCUGUGUGAAGCCCAGCAGGAUCCUUUCACAGCAAGCUCUUUUCACUUGAACCUUUGUGCAUCAGUGCCUAACUCUUUCACAAGAUAAGGGGUCCUACAGAAUCGAAGCAGACCCACCAGAGGGUUACAAGUUCCUGAUACCUAGUACAACCUGGGAAAGAGAGCAAAAGCCCUUUAUUCCUGAUGCAGCUUCCCCAAUCUCUAGCCAAUUUGCACCAAAAGCCCAAGAAACUCCUAACUACAAAUUCCUUCCUGGGGUGGGGUGUUUGGGAGGGUGGGCAGGGACUUCUCUGGGGUCCUGCAUGCACAGCUAGGAUCAAGGUUCAGCUUAUAGUAACCAUUUCCUCAUUUUAAUAGUAAAAACAACCACAACAAGAAAAACACCCCAAGGCGGAGAUUUCAUAUGCUAAUGAUACAUGCGAUGGGUGUUAGACCACGUGGAUCCUGAGCACAUGUGCCAACCGCAGGUCUGCCUUUGCAUACUUGACCUCACCAGUAUUUUAUGAUUAUGUACGUAUAGCUCCCAUAAAAGGAAUUCCUCUUACAGCACUAGCUGCUGUCUCUCCCACUGAGCACCCCACUCUGCCUCUCAAAGAGUACUUUUGCUUUGCAACAAAUUUCUUCGCUUACUCUUACUUUGGAUUUGCUCUCAAAUUCUUUUGCACAGCAAAUUCAAGAACCUGAACUGGUCCACCGACAACAAAAUAACAAAAUUCCCUUAUAUAACAUUUGGAGUCUGCCUUAACUGAUUUGAAUCAAGAUGGAAUGCAGUAGGAUGAGAUGUGCCUUUUAAAUUUGACACAGAAGAGUGAGGAGUAUUACCAUGAUAUCAUAAGUUCUAAAAUCAUGGAUGAACUUACAAACAACAAUACUGGGGCUUUACCUAUCCCAAAGCAUUCCAUAUAUCAAAUUGAAACAAUCAAAAGCUUCUAUUUUAUUUUAGUUUAUGCGUGACAUUGGAGCAGUUUGGCACUAUGAGUUCAUCCCUGAAGUCUUACUUUGGAAUCAUGCUUUGAGAAUCCCCUUCUACUGCAUUCCCACCUCACCCCCAUGAAUCAGUAAACUCAGUGAAAAUUAUCACAAAAAAAUGCAAAAAACAAUAAAAGAUUUCUAAAUGAAAAGUUUAAUACAAUAUAUUUUGUGAACACAAUAAAGAUAAAGAACCAAUAAAAUAGAAAAAUUCUGGCAAACUUGAACAAACAGAGACAAAGAGAGAACAGGGAGAAAGCAGGAGAGCAUGGGAGGGGCAGCCUCCUACCUUUCCAAGAGAAAAGAAUGACUGAAAGGCUGACAGACAAAUAAUAUGUUUGAAAUGGAG